rnacentral:lncRNA from 1 species
UGAGUCUGUAAUUUAUUACAUGUUUGACAUAAUCGGCUUUCUCUAUAUUACUUUGUCUGAUACUGUGUACUAUGAAGGCAGUCUUGAGAUUUUCUACUGGAAGAAAAAUGAGAUCUGAACUGUCCUUAAUUGGGUGAAUUCUCAUUGUUGAAGAGACUUUCGAUUAGGAACAUUCUGUAAAGUAGUCAGCAUGUAAUAGAUCAUGGCAGUGUUAUUUGUUGCUAUGGUAAAGAGGGGGAAGUUUUGGUUUUCAAAGUUUUAUGGGUGACUUUUUUUCUCCUAGUUUUUUGAAAGGUUUCUGAUUCUAUACAUCAGCAUAUUGCUGAUAUACGAAGAAUAUUUCAAGAAAAAUCAUAUUGGUUAAUUAAAUCUAUAACUAACCAAACUUACAGAAACUCAGUAACAAGAACGAUUUUAUAGGUAUUCAACUUACAAUAAAAGUAUCAUUCAUAUAGUAUAUUAAAUGUGUUCCUAACAAUUGUUGGACAUGCUUACUGUUUUAAUAUCUA